rnacentral:rRNA from 2 species
GUGUCACAAAAUCGGAAGCCACGACUGUUUACUAUAAACACAACUAUCUGCAACUAUGUAAAUAUUAGUAUAGGUAGUGAAGUUUGCCCAAUGCCAUUAGCAUAAGAGANGAUAAUAACUUAUUGUUAUCAAUCGAAAGCCUGGUUAAUAGCGGUCUUAACCUUGAGGAUCCUAAGGUAGCAAAAUAAAUUGGCCAUUAAAUGUGGUCCGGAAUCAGUAAUUUAACGAUGGCUUCACUGUAUCAACAACUUGCUCAGUGAAAUUGAAUUGUGAGUGCAGAUGCUCACUACUCGCMGGGGGACGGGAARACCCUAUGCAGCUUCUACUGUAGUUAGUUAUCACAUUAAUUCUCAAAAUUUAGUAUCCAGAUAAUAGGGAGUCGAUAGACGAAUUAUGGAAAACCUUAUAACUUGUUUU